CAACGAGAUGAAUGGUGCGAGUUUUUCUAUGGGUAUAACUAUGGAAAAGCUCGUUGGCAAUAAAGUUAUUGGAAGUUAUGCAUGGAAGUUUAUCUACAAGGGCAAGACUUGUGGGAUUUAAUGGAAGGUAAAUGACACAUACAUUCCAGCAAUGCUCUACAGAAUGCAACAUUGUGUCAACAAUGGAAGAUCAAAUGCGGAAAAACUUUAUUUACCUUGCGAAAUUUGAUUAGCAAAGAGUAUAUUGAUCAUGUUCAUGAUUUAAAGUCACCAAAGCAAGUAUGGGAUACACUUCAAAAAUUGUUUACUAAGAAAAGUACCGCUCGACUGCAAUUUAUAGAGAAUGAACUAGCUAUGGUAACUCAAGGAAACCUUGAUUAAGCAAAUGACUAGCAGCAACGAGUUUUCCCGAAAGUCAGAAGGUGUGUUGUAUGUCAAAGAUCAAAGGAGAUAGAAUUUUCAUUCAAAGCCUUCAUUUAGCAAUGAGAAUCAAUUCAGAAGUGAGGAGUCGUCAAAGAAGCCAUUUAAAGCUUGUUAUAGGUGUGGAAAACCAGGUCAUUUUAAACGAGAUUGUCAGGUGAAAGUGGUAUGUGAUCGUUGUGGAAAGCCAAGCCAUAUUAAGUCAAAUUGCCGAGUCAAAAUCGAGGAAUUAGAAGCAAAUGUUGUACAUGAAAGUAAAAAAUCUUUGGAUCAAUUUGGGAAUACUGCUUAACCACUGAGGUUCUUGAUCAGCCAACAAACGUGACUUCAGCCGUAUAUCAAGAUGAUGUCUCUACAGGUGAUCAAAAUUCUAAUUCCACUAACGCUUCUGAAUUUGAUUAUCUCCAAAUUUCGCCUCUGGACUCUCUCUUUUUCUCCAAUGCCAAUUUUGUUGUCCCUGAUGACCCUUCUGUUUAUUUCACGGCUUUGGAUUUGGGAUUCGACGGAAAUGAAGUCUUCAAGCUAACCUUUGACGAUCUUGACGGACUUUACCUCCCCUUUGAGGCUGACGAUUUCCUCAUUUGGGAGAAUUUGAUCAAACUACCAAUUCACAGGAUUCUAAUGCUCAUCCCCCGCCUGACCUAGAAAUAGCGGCUCUGCUUGAUGAUGAUGAUUUAUCACAAUUUGAUUUUGAUUUUGAGGACUUGAAGGAGGAUUUUGUAGUUCAGGAAAAUUUAUGUGAAGAAGGGGAGGAUGAUUCAACGGAUAAUAAGUUUUAGUGUGGCUAAGGAUUUUGAGAAGGCGACAGGAAGCCAGAAUAUUGUUAAUAACAAAUCUUUUGGCGACGACAUUUUUUAGGAUGCAGACGUUGACCAUGUGGAAGAUGAUGUUGAUAAGCCACAAACUCGGCGGCUUUUGGAUGAUCAAUUUGACACCCUCUUAAGUCAGGACUAUGCAUCUAGUGACGAUGGUGACAGUG